rnacentral:lncRNA from 1 species
UUGGGAGCAACAUAUGUCUAAAGCUUGCAUAGAUUUGCAGGCUGGGGCAGUGAGAUAGCAAUAUAAUUCCAUGGCAAAGCUAGUGACAUCUUUCCAGAAGCUGUUUUCUGCAUUAAAGAUGUGGGCAGUAAGGGAAUACUUUAUGCCUUCUUAGGUCCAUGCUAAUACGAACAUCAAAAUAGCCUUUGCAUGGAUUAUGCCUAGAUUUAUGGAUUUUCUGCUAUGCAUAUUUCAUGCUUUUGUUUAAACCCUGCCAUUUAUUGAUGUCUUUCCCUUUAAAUAUCCAGUCAAAAGGAAGAUCUAGUCACAAAUUUGUUGCUGCUAUCUCCUAAUCUCCCAACAGAAAAAUGUAAGGGAGAAAAAGUAAUUGUCUUUUGUCUUAGAUCCUUUAUGUAGUUAGGUAGCAAAGGAAUCCCAGGAGAAGGUAGUUGGAACAGAGUUUAACCCACUCAAGUUUUUAUCUGUUAAUAGUUGUUAUAAUGAGAUCUAAAGUUUGAAAUUCUGUGAACCAGCCUCUUCAAAUUUGCUUUCAAAGGUUUAUGUCUCAUCUCUCUUUUCUUAGAAGCUGCCACAGGAACUGGACAGAAAAUCACCAGUUAUAACUGCUGCAAAAGGAACCAAGGCACUUUUGUACUGCCAACCAAAUGUUGUAAGGAACUGAACCCAAUUCCUUCCUGUUGCUGCCUGCAUGGUAUGGCUGCCUGGAGAAAGGAGAGAUUGCAGAUGCUGGGCAACUGUUCAAAAAGACACUUAUAGAGGGAAGAGAGAUUCAUCAGCUAAGUAUCCAGCAGUAAUGUUCACAUAGUAAACCCCAUCAAAAUUGAGAGUGUAAGUGAAGUAUACAUUAUUGAUAAAGAUCAGUUUGAUCUUUAAGUUGUUUUUUUUUGAUCUUUGAUCUUAAGGUUUCUGGAGGGAGAAGAGACCAAUGCGAAGUGAUGCUGCUACCAACUUUUAGUUGCAAUGCUAUAGCCAUUUUCUGAUACUGUGCUCAUUCCUAUUAAAAAAAAAAAUAAAUCUCAGUUCCUUAAAAAUUAAGAAAGUGUC